CCUGCUACCAUUUCUCCAGUUGGUAAAUUGCCAUUUAUUCCUCAAGACUUGGUUCAAAUGCCAUGGAAUCUGUCAAACCUUCCCUAAGCCACACAUACCUGUGAAGUGUUUUCUGACUCCCCCACCAAUGCCUGGACAGUGUCAAUAUCUUGCUCCUCUGAGUUCACACAGAAAUAUAUAUCAUCAGAUCUAGUCAAAAACUUUUCAUUGCAUAUUGUAAUUGCAUGUGCAUGUGCCUGUGUUUGCCUCCCUUCCUGCAUUUUAAAUACCUAAAGAGCAGGCUUUGCUUUAGACAUUUCUUUUUUUUUUUUUUUUUAAUUCCAGUGUCUGUGUUAAUGUCUAUUGGUAGAUGGUCCACAGAUAUCCACUACUUGCAUGAGUGAUAAUUUUAUCUUUCCAUUUCUGGGCAAUAAUGAGGCUACUUGCAUAUUCAUUUGUCAGUGAAGGAAGGAAGACAUUAAACAAUUUGCCCAAGUGUACACUUUUACAAGUGACAGAAGUAACAAACCAAAACUGCAAAUUCCAUUAUCUUUCUCUUAUUUUCCCAGAUGUAGUGACUUCAUGCAGUGAUACAGCGAGCCGGUCUAGAUGGAGGACCCAAUAUGCUCACUAUGAAUCUGUCUCAUAAACAGAAAAAGGCACCAGCAUAGACAACAAUAAUUUCUGUCAGUGUCCCGGGACCAUAGGUGGGCUUCAAAGUCAUGUCCAGAAGGAGAUGAUUCCAGACACAGGAGUUUUCCAUCAUGCACAAAGUUUAGCAAAUUAGAUAAGAUGCAAAUCUCCUCAGUGGGGGUCUGCUAGUUUGUUAGAGCUACUGCAGCAAAGGACCACAAGUGAGUGGCUGAAGAAGAGAAGUACAAUUCUGGAGGCUAGAGGUCAAUGUGUUGCUAUGGUUAGUUCCCUCUGAGGAAUAUUAGGAAGACUCACUUACAUGCCUCUUUUGGUGAUUUACUGGAAUCUAUGGUGUUCCUUGGCUUGUGGUAGCGAAACUCCUGUCUUCACAUGGUGUUCUUCUGUCUCUAUCAGUGGCCAGUUUCUUUUUUGUAAGUUCACUGGUCACAUGGGAUUAGGAGCUCACCGUAACCCAACACAACUUUAUCCUAAGUUCACUAGUUAUACCUACAACAACCAUCUUUCCAGAUAAGAUGGUAUUCUGAGGUACCAGGAGUUAGGACUUCAUAUACGAAUUUCGGGAGGACACAAUUCAACCCAUGACACAGGCCAGGGCUCUUCAAAGAAAGACAUAACAUUUCUACAGGAACAGUGUUGCAAAGAAUCAGAAGAAUAUGGUUGGUGUGGAUAGGAGGCAAUGCCUGAGGGGAUGUGUACCUGUCUUUGCUAUGAAGGUAACCUGACUUGUGAAAAUACUGGACUUGAGGGAGUACCGGGAGAACCUCAACUCAGAUAUGUAACUGCCUUGAGUGUCUAUGGAAGCACUUGAGAUAAUCAGCAGAUUUGCAAAAACUACAUUCAUAAUAAUAAAUGAUUAAAAUGCUUAUAAUGUGCUAAGCUCUGUUCUAAACAUGCUACUUAUUUCAAUGUUUAUAAUCUUUAAUACAACAUUAAUGAAAUAGGUAUCAUAUUAAUCCAUAUUUCAGACAAAUAACUGAAUGACCAGCAGGUUAAGUAAUUUGCUUUGCAUCAUAAUUUGUGAAUUCAGAUCAUGACUUGAAUCCAGACAGUGAGGAUUCAGUCUUGAGCCACAUCCCUUGAUACAUAAACAUUUAGUCCUUUACUUCUUCUCUUCCCCUCCCUCUCUUCCUUAUUUUUGACUUUCUUUUUCUUUCCUUUCCCAUGACUUAAUUUCCAUUCAUUUCGUUCCUUGCUUGCUUCCUUUUUUCCUCCUUUCUUUCUUUUCUUCCUUCCUAUAAUUUUUAAGGAAUAAAACUAAAAAAUAAAGACUUCAUUUUUAUAUGCACUUUCCCCACUAAAGAAUUUAAUUCUUGCUAGUAAAUCCACAUUAAAUAUUCAAGAAAAAUAAAGUCAGUUUUUAUUGCUAUAUUCUCCAGAGAUGGAGGUUGGGGAUACUCCAAGUGAAUAAAUUGUCUUGAUUUUGUAUCUAGGCCCAUUUUUACUCAACCAAGUGCCUUGACCAGUCAGCCUUUACUCUUAACCCCUAGGGGUAAGUAGGAAAAUAAAUUUAUAUUUUCUCCUUCAAUAUCCAGAUCCAGGGUCCUUCCUGCCACAUGAUCUUCAGAGAAAAAGCAUCAGGAAAUUCUUAAUCUAUUUUGUCUCCACAGCUUAUAAGCAGCUGUCGUUAUAAAUAAAGGCUAAUGUCACUCUCAUCGAACUUGAAAUUUAACACGUGUUUUUGCCACUCAAUGAGGGAUUUCCUCUAACACACUUAUAUGUAAAUCUUCUGAUCUCCAGUGGUUUUAUUUCAGUAUUACACGACUAUAAAAGCCCUUUUGGUGACAAAGACUUAACAAUAUAAAAGAGUCAAAAUGAACCUUGGAAAUAAGGCUGAAAAUUCCAAAACACGGGAUUGUUUUUCAUAAAAUUUGCCAUUCUCAUCUCCCAAGCUGGAAUUAUUACUCAGAAAUAAUACGACUAGAUCAUGUUGAAAUUUGGAAUGGGAAAAUCACAUAAAGUUGGAAGUUUCAGUCCUAGGGUUUAUUUCAAGUUCUAGGUUGAGCAAGGGGAAGUUUUCCUAAAGAUGUGGAACAAUAAGUAAAAAUAAUAAAGUGUAAUAGCUUUAUUUUCAGAUUUUCCAACUAGUGUGCUGUUAAAAAAAUGUGUAAUUAUAAUUCAAUAACGGGAAGUUUCUCAUGUCUGAUAUGUAUAAAAAAAGACUAAGAAAUAGUUAUUAAUCUUUAUUUUAUGGAUUGAAGUCUUCAAAUAAGAAUGCUAAAAACAUUUAACGUCUAUUCACCCUUGAAUUUUACCUUAUUUAACCAAUUUUAACUGUGAAUUCAAAUUACUCUGUGUAUACAAAUUGUAUGUCCUGAGUCGGAGAUAAAGAAGGAAAUGUUUUAUAAAUGUGAGCAUUACGCCUAGUUCCAAGAGAUUGUUUUAAUAGUUUAUCCAGCCUACCCUCAUGUCUUGAAUUAAGAAUUAAUUUCAUACCUGAAGAAAUUAAUUUAUUAUAUUAGAAUCUUAAAUCACAGGUGCAAAAAUCAAGCUAGUGUCUUUAUGAUCCAUGAAAUAUUCAAGGCUGCAGAGGAGCAUGGAUCAGUCACAUUCUUGAUUGUAAGUCACACGGGUGAGUAUUGAUUUUCUCAGACAACUAAGGAAUUUAUUGGAAAAAUAUGAGGGAUUUACUGAAUUGAUGGGAUGCUGGAUGGAUAAACUUGGUGAAAUGACAAAAGCCAAGAUUUUGCACUAGAAUUUAAGGAGCAAGAACAACAGCCAAGUUCUCAUGUUUUAGAAAAUCCUGGUCUUUCUUUUGCUUGUUUGGGAUUCAGUGCCCUUGGGGUGAACCCAUGAUUAACUAAACACAAGUAGGAACAGAAUGCAUUGACCUACAGCGCUUUCGCAGUCAGAUAAAGGCACUAUCCCAUCAACAACACUUAAAAUAAGGAAUUAUUCCUCAAGGAAAACAAAACGAAAUAAGAAAGUUGAGAUAGGGAUUGACUGAGAAGAAAGACCAUCCCAAAGUAUCUAACAUCUGACGAUGUGGGGAUUGGGUAUGUGCGUGCAUGUGCGUGCAUGUGAUGGCUUUCUGUGUUAGUAGGAGGAAUGUCUGAAUGCUUGUGUAAAAUAAAAUCUCCAUGUAAACGUAUCAAUAUCCAAUUCGUAGAGACUCAAAGGCAUCAAAAUGCCAGGCAAAUUGUGUUUAGAGGCAGAAGACUGCCAUUGAAAUCCUGACUAUGUUAUUAUCCACCUAUGAUAUGGAACAUUUGAUUUGGCUUGUUGAUCUCUUAAGUACUUCAGGUGAAAAAUGAGAUUUAUAUAAAGAUAACAUAGAAUGUUGUGAGAUGGGAGUAUUCUAUGUAAAAGCCAUUUGUAAAAUAUAGAACACAACACAGAAACCUUUUUUCAUUUGUCACUUUUCAUUAUUCAGCUUCCUUGGGUCUAAUGAGGAAGACUGAUUCUUCUUUUUUUUUUUUUUUUUUUUUUUUUUCUUUUUCCUUUUAAACAUGGAUCAUCUGUGCUUGCUCGUUUCACACCAGAAGGACUCCUGAACAGGCCUCUGAAGACUACGAAACAUUUUCCUUUGGCUACAAAAGACGUAUCAGUAGAACUGAAGAAGUUGACAUAAAAUCACUUUUUUAAUGGAAACAAUUAUUUGUACUAGUGAAGAAAGUUGGGUUCAUAAUUUUAUCUCUAAGCAAAGGUGUGGCUUAGUCAUUUUUAUUUAUGUCUCUAAAAGGCCUGCUUGUUUUGUCCUUUCUGUGACUUUUCCCAAUUAGGUUGGAUAUAUUUUAAACCUCCCUGUGAGGAAUUUUAUAAAUUGUUUAUUAUUUUUCUUUUCCAAAAAAGAGUUUAUAAGUCCCAGAUUUCCACCCCCCCUUCCAUGUGGCCCUUAUUAAUCUUCCCUGGGGGCUUUUUUACCCCCUGCCCUCCAACUUAAAGCUUAGCUGGGAUGGUUCAUACAGUCAUAAUUGAAAAUUAAUGAUGAGAAGCAGCCCCAAACCACACCAUUCCCUUUCCCCCUGUUCAGUCCAAGAAGUGUACAAUGCAGAUUUUAUUUCAGGGACUGGAGAGGUGAUUAAUAGUCAUAAGGCCCUGACACUGGCUUCAGAUAAGUGGCGUAGUCUGGCAGGAACACAAAUAUGUGGACACCAUUCCCAUUAAUCUCUGAACGCCACAUGGAAAGGAAAAAGUCUUUGCAAGGCCUCUAUAAAGGGAGUUAUUAUUAUGAGGCCAAUUUUUCUAUAAGGAAAGGAUAAUUUGUAGCCUCUGUGAACCUACCCAGGACCAAAGGAGUUACUACACUCUACUUAUAAAAGACUUUUCUCCAAAUGAGAAGAUGUAAAUGAGGUGUGAGGGCGAAUAAUAAGAAAACAAAAGUAUAAGGAAACUGACAAUAAAAUCUAUGGAAUCAUUCCUACUGGUCCAUGAGCACCGGAAGGCUGGCCAGGGGGCCAAGCUUCUGUCACUGCUCCAGCCAAAGUAGCACAUGAUGUUCCUCAAUGUAUGUUGAGUGAAUGGAUGCAUGGAAAGCUUGCAUUUUUCAGGCUGCAACAUUCAUAAUUGAGGAUUGAUAACUGAAAAAGAAGAGAAAAAUGAUACUGCGUUUCUGCAAUCUUUGAUAUUUUGAUUUUCAUACUAUUACUAAACACCAUGGUCAUUAUUGCUACUUUUUAUACAAUGAUUUAUAUAUUCUUAAACAAUGCCACAUUUUCCCACCUGGCAAACUCCAAAUGCAUCAUCCUUCUAGGCUGGCUCAUCAUUUCCUUUUUGAAUAAAGUCUACUCCAUCUUAUCACUAGUUUUCCUGCAUAAAGUACAUACUUCAUUUUCUGUAUUCAAAGAUAUUGCAAUUAUAUGUUUAGACACUUUCUCUUUGAUUAGCCUGUGAACUCACUGAGGCAUAGCUCAUAGCAUACUAUUCCUGCUUUCCAUAGCAUUGCAACUAACAGGUCCUCAGAAUAUUUUUCUAAAAUUAAAAGCAAUGUUUAUAGAAAUAAAUUACCUCGAACCCAGUUUUGCUUCUUACCCUGACUUACCCAUCUAUAAAAGAGAAGUUACUCUUCAAUACUUAAAAAUAUAACUAUUGGUUAGUCGGUGCAAACUGUUACAUUUAGAAUGGAUAAGCAAUGAGGUCCAACUGUACAGCAACAAAGUAUUAUAUUGAAUCUCUUGGGAUGGACUAUGAGAGAAGAUAUAUAAGAAAGGGAAUGUAUAUACAUGUAUGACUGGCUCUGUUUGCUUUACAGCAGAAAUUGGCCCAAACUUUUAAAUAAACUAUACUCUAAUAAUUUAAAAAUAAGUUUAAAAAAGGGUUGGCAGUUUCAAGCAAAGCAAAAGGACCAAAUUCUUAUUCUUCUUUAGAGAGAUCUAAGAGUUUUUGUGAGUAUGAGAUUUUUUGACACCCUUAGACUUACAUAAAUUAUAUUCUACUGUGGUGUCUGUGAGAGCACAGUUUACUAGAAGACACUAGAAGCUCUUGUUUCACUCUGGUGUCUAAUAAUUGUUACUAAUCAUAAUUCAACUAUGGAAAUGUUUGAAAGAAAAAAAAUAGCUAUUGGAUAGAAUGGUCUUGUUCACGAUGGACUUCUUUAUUCUCUUGAUGGGAGGUGGAUAUUUGUCUUGGGGGGGGCUGUGUAAAUGUUGAUCUCCCCUUUCAUCAUUGUCUAGCCUGAUACAUUUCUCCCCAAUAGAAAUAUAGGGGCUUCGCUCAGUUGGAGACAGCACAACAUUAUUCCUAUUUAAUGCUGAUAGUUCAAAAAGAAUAACUAGCCACAAAGUUCUAUAUUUCCAGAAGUAGAUGAUGUUUAUUCUGUUAUACAAAAUAUCUUUUUUUUCAUUUCUAAAUACUAUUUAUAUUUAUUUACACUCUGAGAAGAGGGCCAAUUUAUUAUUUCAUUCAGUCAG
rnacentral:lncRNA from 1 species